GUCACGCUGAAGUGACUUUGUGCCCUGUUUGUAACUGGGCCUCUUUGAAAGCGGGCCUCGCAUUCCUGCUCCGUCGGACGGGGGAUGUCCUGCUUAUUCCCAGCGAGUAGGAAGUUUCUGCCAUUAGGGAUUAUGUGCCGUUUCCUCACCCAGAAGCUUUCGGCUUGUCCCCUCCCACUCUUGAAAAAGCAGCGACUUCAGAAACUAGAAAACGGUACAAAUUAAAUACCUGCCUCUCUGUCCACCAGCCUCAGCCUUUUAGCCCCGCUCGUCUGCGCUUGUGCGAUUGCUGGGAGGAGGCAGCCGUGUUCUGUCCGCUUUUGUGUGGUUGUACAGAAGUGCUGCGGUUGGGAGGAGGAGGAGGAGGUGGAGGGGAACAGCUGCUCCCCACACAGAAGCCGGUUUCCCAGCCUGACAGGCAGCGAGAGGCAGCCAGUGCCGGGGCUGUUUUCCCGGGGGCCCUCGGGUUGGUUCGCCAGCCUCCGCAGCUAGGAGGGGAAUUUUUAUGGCGGUGACGAAAAUACAAAAUGGACCAGAGCAAGUAGGAUUCUUUCCUUCACAAGGCCAGGCGCUCGUGUUCUCCCACAAAAAUCAGGAGUAGAUAUGGAUACGUCUCCAGUGAAACUUGACCAGGUUAAGCUCUUGGGACCUGGGCAGAGGGCAAAAGCACUCAAUCCCCUGGCCGUGUCCUGACUGAGACGGACGUGGGACGGAUGUCUUUGAGCGAUAAGACAGAGAAACGGUGGACCAGAGAGAGGAUGCGGCACUGGCGUGUCUAAGAGAUUGAAUGUUCAAUAUGUUCACAUGCCUGAUGAUGAUGAUGGUUUCUUCUGUUUUUUAAAUAAAACUUGAUCCUGUACAUCUGCUGAGGUGUUUUCCUUUGGGAUGAGGGGUGCAGGAGAGGGUCGUCAUGCUAUUCGCUUUGUCUGGCUGUCUGGUCGCCACUGCAGUUAAUCUAUAAAUGACCUUUAUCGCAUUGGCAACACGAGGAAGGGCCGGUAUUAUCAGUUAUUCACACACUGGUUUCUUUGGGUUGCGAUAAAGAAGUAUGUGAUUGACAAUUGAUUAAUUUUUUAUUUAAAAAAAUCCUGAAUUCAGGAGUGUUUUUUGAUUUCUACAAAGAUUUUCUCUUAAAUGAAGGUAAAUCGUACAACCGUUUUUUCUAGUGAUGCCCUUCAUAGAAGAUCCCAGCACCUGCGCUAUUAUGAAACAAGUCUGCUUGGCUUUAUCCUCAUGUAUCCACCAGAUGUAAUGUAAUUUUUUGUUUAAUCUAAUAACGUAAAAUCUGUCUGAUGCAUAACCAAACGAGUCUGUGUAAAAAAAAAAAAAGCGAGCGACAUAUUGAACCAACAUAUGCUGACACCUUCAUUUACACAAAAACCAUUUCUAUGAAUAGACUUCAUUACCUCUUGAAGACUUCGCUGUUAGAAAAACAUGCGGCUUGCAG
ensembl:lncRNA